rnacentral:rRNA from 1 species
GCGCGAAAACUUCGCAAUGCGCGAAAGCGCGACGAGGGGAUUCCAAGUGCAUGCACUUAGUGCAUGCUGUUUGCUAGUCCAAAUAGCUAGUAGAGUAAGGGCUGGGUAAGACUGGUGCCAGCCGCCGCGGUAAUACCAGCGGCCCGAGUGGUGAUCGUUAUUAUUGGGUCUAAAGCGUCCGUAGCCGGCCCGGUAAAUCUCUGGGUAAAUCGUUGGGCUCAACCCAGCGAAUUCUAGGGAGACUGCCGGGCUUGGGACCGGGAGAGGUCGGAGGUACUCCGAGGGUAGGGGUGAAAUCCUGUAAUCCUUGGGGGACCACCGGUGGCGAAGGCGUCCGACCAGAACGGGUCCGACGGUAAGGGACGAAGCCCUGGGGCGCGAACCGGAUUAGAUACCCGGGUAGUCCGAGGUGUAAACGCUGUGCGCUUGGUGUUGGGGUCCUUUGGAGGGCAUCCAGUGCCGGAGAGAAGUUGUUAAGCGCACCACGUGGGGAGUACGGGUCGCAAGACUGAAAACUUAAAGGAAUUGGGACGGGGGAGCGACCGCGAACGGGGAGGAGCCGUGUAC